AAUAGAUACCCCGGUAGUCCACGCCCUAAACGAUGUCUACUAGUUGUCGGGUCUUAAUUGACUUGGUAACGCAGCUAACGCGUGAAGUAGACCGCCUGGGGAGUACGGUCGCAAGAUUAAAACUCAAAGGAAUUGACGGGGACCCGCACAAGCGGUGGAUGAUGUGGAUUAAUUCGAUGCAACGCGAAAAACCUUACCUACCCUUGACAUGGUCGGAAUCCUGGAGAGAUCCGGGAGUGCUCGAAAGAGAACCGAUACACAGGUGCUGCAUGGCUGUCGUCAGCUCGUGUCGUGAGAUGUUGGGUUAAGUCCCGCAACGAGCGCAACCCUUGUCAUUAGUUGCUACGAAAGGGCACUCUAAUGAGACUGCCGGUGACAAACCGGAGGAAGUGGGGAUGACGUCAAGGUCCUCACGGCCCUUAUGGGUAGGGCUUCACACGUCAUACAAUGGUGCAUACAGAGGGCUGCCAACCCGGCGAGGGGGAGCUAAUCCCAGAAAGUGCAUCGUAGUCCGGAUUGUAGUCUGCAACUCGACUA
rnacentral:rRNA from 1 species